UACGUAGGUGGCGAGCGUUUGUCCGGAAUUACUGGGUGUAAAGGGCGCGUAGGCGGCCAGCGCAAGUCGGUUGUGAAAUCUCCGGGCUUAACUCGGAAAGGUCAACUGAUACUGCGCGGCUAGAGUGCAGAAGGGGCAACUGGAAUUCUCGGUGUAGCGGUGAAAUGCGUAGAUAUCGAGAGGGAACACCUGGCGGCGAAGGCGGAACUCUGGGCCGGAACUGACGCUGGAGGAAGCGAAAGCGUGGGGAGCGAACAGG
rnacentral:rRNA from 1 species